rnacentral:misc_RNA from 1 species
ACAAAUCCAAUAAUUGCGGAAGAACACCUGUUCUUUUUGCAAAUAUUAAUCCGCUAGUUGCUCUUAGUAGCAACUGGCUGUGAUAUAAAUGCGUGUUAUGUUGACAGUGUGUGAUAAAUUAAUAUUGA